rnacentral:rRNA from 1 species
CCUACGGGUGGGCAGCAGUGAGGAAUAUUGGUCAAUGGGCGAGAGCCUGAACCAGCCAAGUCGCGUGAAGGAUGACGGCCCUACGGGUUGUAAACUUCUUUUGUCAGGGAGCCAGUGGGUCCACGCGUGGGCUUAGCGAGAGUACCUGAAGAAAAAGAAUCGGCUAACUCCGUGCCAGCAGCCGCGGUAAUACGGAGGAUGCGAGCGUUAUCCGGAUUAAUUGGGUUUAAAGGGUGCGUAGGCGGAAUUUAAAGUCAGCGGUAAAAAUUCGGGGCUCAACCCCGUCGUGCCGUUGAAACUGGUGUUCUUGAGUGGGCGAGAAGUUAGCGGAAUGCGUGGUGUAGCAGUGAAAUGCGUAGAGAUCGCGCAGAACUCCGAUGGCGAAGGCGGCAUACCGGCGCCCAACUGACGCUGAAGCGCGAAAGCGUGGGUAGCGAACAGGAUUAGAUACCCCGGUAGUC